rnacentral:rRNA from 1 species
AACGAACGCUGGCGGCAUGCCUAACACAUGCAAGUCGAACGAGACCUUCGGGCCUAGUGGCGCACGGGUGCGUAACGCGUGGGAACCUGCCCUUAGGUUCGGAAUAACUCCCCGAAAGGGGUGCUAAUACCGGAUAAUGUCUUCGGACCAAAGAUUUAUCGCCUUUGGAUGGGCCCGCGUUGGAUUAGCUAGUUGGUAGGGUAAAAGCCUACCAAGGCGACGAUCCAUAGCUGGUCUGAGAGGAUGAUCAGCCACACUGGGACUGAGACACGGCCCAGACUCCUACGGGAGGCAGCAGUGGGGAAUAUUGGACAAUGGGCGAAAGCCUGAUCCAGCAAUGCCGCGUGAGUGAUGAAGGCCUUAGGGUUGUAAAGCUCUUUUAACCGGGAUGAUAAUGACAGUACCGGGAGAAUAAGCUCCGGCUAACUCCGUG